UGAGAGAAAGAGAGAGAGAAAUAAGAUGUCUCGGCGGGCCUUUGGACAUAUGAUCAAAAGUGAGUAUGAUCCGAGAUUUACCCUUGAAAAGGAUUGUUUUCCCCUUUUUUUGGUUUAUUUCAUCUCCUCUCGGAUGUUUGCGACUUUGAUAAGA
rnacentral:ribozyme from 1 species